GCUGAGCUGAGUUGCGUGAGCUUGCAACCCGAGUGGGGGGCUCUGAGAUGGUGUGGACGCUGUUGCAGCGCUGUGGGCCUGGUCUGGGUUUGUGCUACUGCUGGCCCGCCCAUUCCAAGUUGAGUAGUGGACUGCUGAGGUCUGUGCGAAAGCUGGGCCUCACGGCAUAAUGUGGCAGGCACAGCGUGAGGCUGGCUUCACAGAGCAGCGACAACUGAUCGUUUUGUGUGAUACUUUGAAAUUAUCAAAGUUUUCGUGCAUAUUACAAAAAUAUCCUGCUUGUGUUGAUGAUCACUUUG
rnacentral:SRP_RNA from 9 species